CCGGGUGUAGCGCAGAUGGUAGCGCGCCUGCUUUGGGAGCAGGAUGCCGCAGGUUCGACUCCUGUCACUCGGACCA
rnacentral:tRNA from 2 species